rnacentral:lncRNA from 1 species
AGGGGUGUAAAUUUAACCCGUAAAUCCACAAACUCAACCCAACCCAGCCCAACUCAAGUAUGUUGAGUUGGGUUCAUAAUAGUAUAGGUUGAAAUGAGUUGGGUUUUGUUAUCAACCCAUAGGGUUGGGUUUUAUUUAAUUUUAACUCUAAACAACUCAACCCAACCCAAACUAACUCAUCCUUAUUACAACCUCCUACCUCCUUCCUUCUUUCAACCCUCCUUGCCUUUUCCUUCCUUUGCAAUUGUAUGAGAAUUGUACUUAUGUAAUAGUAGCAGUAUGUCGAACCUUUGAAAGAAAUUAUUUGAAAUAAAAUUGAUUUAUAUUUGAAUUGUACUUGAGUACUUAUGUAGUAGGCUAGUAGCAGUAUGUCGAAUAAUCCAUUUUGGAAUGAAAUUGAUUUGUAUUUGAAUUGUACUUAUGUAGUAAGCUAGUAGCAGUAUGUCAAACCUUCGACUUUGCAGUAGAAAUAUAUUGUAGGAUUGGGGACUUAAGUAUUGAAAAUUACCUACCUCAACUUAUAUAUGAUUCCAUAAAAUUGACAAUAGAAGUAUUUCGAUUCUGGAAAAAUUGCUUUUCGGGGUUUCGAUUUCCGAACAAAAACUCUCGUUCCGAAUUAAAUCAAUGUUUUUAACUCGAGAAUAGGAAUGAGAUUUCUUAGACGAGAAUCAAGAAUCAAAAUUUUAAAAAUAAAAAAACGGGAUCUCAUUCUCUUCCGAUUUCCACUCCUACUCAUUAUUAGAGUAAUUUCCUAAUUGGAAAAAUAUUUCAUCUUUUAAAAAAUGGUCUAACUCAUGUCCAAAACCACCUCAACCCGCCCCAACCCAUUAGGGUUGAGUUGGGUUAGAUUAAAGAAAAAAAUGGGUUGAGUUAAUAAAAAAUGCAACCUAUUUAUCCUUAACCCA